rnacentral:sRNA from 1 species
ACAAUAGCAUAACGGUUUACUCAAGGGUGGUCGGCACACUCCCAUGAAAGGGGGUGUUGCUGUAUGACAGUAUUUGAAGGAAUUUCCCUUAUGUUGACGUUCGGGCUACUGAUCGUUGCAUUGCUGUCGUUUCACAACCACAAAAAAUAAUCCACCCUUGAGUUAGCGGCUCAGGUGGAUUAUUCGUCCAAUCGGCCGAUCCCCCUUGCAGGGAACCGUGCUAUUGUUUGACUGAAGGUGUACCAGCACCUUCA